rnacentral:rRNA from 1 species
GUAAGGAAUAUUGGACAAUGGACGCAAGUCUGAUCCAGCCAUGCCGCGUGAAGGAUUAAGGUCCUCUGGAUUGUAAACUUCUUUUAUAAGGGACGAAAAAAGGCUUUUCUAAGUCGUCUGACGGUACCUUAUGAAUAAGCACCGGCUAACUCCGUGCCAGCAGCCGCGGUAAUACGGAGGGUGCAAGCGUUAUCCGGAUUCACUGGGUUUAAAGGGUGCGUAGGCGGGCAGGUAAGUCAGUGGUGAAAUCCUAGAGCUUAACUCUAGAACUGCCAUUGAUACUAUCUGUCUUGAAUAUUGUGGAGGUAAGCGGAAUAUGUCAUGUAGCGGUGAAAUGCUUAGAUAUGACAUAGAACACCUAUUGCGAAGGCAGCUUACUACUCAUAUAUUGACGCUGAGGCACGAAAGCGUGGGGAUCAAACAGGAUUAGAAACCCCAGUAGUCC